AAUGAACGUUGGCGGCGUGGAUUAGGCAUGCAAGUCGAGCGCUCAUAGCAAUAUGGGAGCGGCGAACGGCGUAGGAAUUCAUAGGAACGUACCCUCAGGACGGGGAUAGCUACGGGAAACUGUAGGUAAUACCCGAUGAUCUCCGCGGAGCAAAGGUGUGAUUCCGCCUGAGGAGCGGCUUAUGCGAUAUUAGCUAGUUGGUGGGGUAAUGGCCUACCAAGGCGACGAUGUCUAGGGGGUGUGAGAGCAUGGCCCCCCACGACCGGAACUGAGAUACUGUCCGGACACCUACGGGUGGCUGCAGUCGAGAAUCUUCCGCAAUGGGCGAAAGCCUGACGGAGCGACGCCGCGUGGUGGAUGAAGGCCCUUGGGUUGUAAACACCUGUCAGAGGGGAUGAAAUCAUGGUUGGCAAUCCUUCCAUGUUGACAGAGCCUCAGAGGAAGCACGGGCUAAGUACGUGCCAGCAGCCGCGGU
rnacentral:rRNA from 1 species